rnacentral:rRNA from 1 species
AUUGAACGCUGGCGGCAUGCUUUACACAUGCAAGUCGAACGGGGUGAGGAGCUUGCUCCUCAUCUAGUGGCGAACGGGUGAGUAAUACAUCGGAACGUACCGUGUAGUGGGGGAUAACGUAGCGAAAGUUACGCUAAUACCGCAUACGAUCCACGGAUGAAAGCAGGGGACCUUCGGGCCUUGUGCUAUACGAGCGGCCGAUGUCUGAUUAGCUAGUUGGUGGGGUAAAGGCCCACCAAGGCAACGAUCAGUAGCGGGUCUGAGAGGAUGAUCCGCCACACUGGGACUGAGACACGGCCCAGACUCCUACGGGAGGCAGCAGUGGGGAAUUUUGGACAAUGGGCGCAAGCCUGAUCCAGCCAUGCCGCGUGUCUGAAGAAGGCCCUUCGGUUGGUUAAAGGUAACGUUUACG